ACUGCUCAGUAACACGUGGUCAACAUACCCAGAGGACGUGGAUAACCUCGGGAAACUGAGGAUAAACCGCGAUAGACCAUAAUGUCUGGAAUGAUUUAUGGUUCAAAUCUAUAUGGCCUCUGGAUUGGACUGCGGCCGAUCAGGCUGUUGGUGAGGUAAUGGCCCACCAAACCUGAAACCGGUACGGGCUCUGAGAGGAGAAGCCCGGAGAUGGGCACUGAGACAAGGGCCCAGGCCCUAUGGGGCGCAGCAGGCGCGAAACCUUUGCAAUAGGCGAAAGCCUGACAAGGUUACUCUGAGUGAUCUCCGCUAAGGAAAUCUUUUGACACCUCUAAAAAUGGUGUAGAAUAAGGGGUGGGCAAGCCUGGUGUCAGCCGCCGCGGUAAUACCAGCACCCCGAGUGGUCGGGACGAUUAUUGGGCCUAAAGCAUCCGUAGCCGGUUCUUUAAGUCCUCCGUUAAAUCCACCUGCUUAACAGAUGGGCUGCGGAGGAUACUAUAGAGCUAGGAGGCGGGAGAGGCAAGCGGUACUCAGUGGGUAGGGGUAAAAUCCGUUGAUCCAUUGAAGACCACCAGUGGCGAAGGCGGCUUGCCAGAACGCGCUCGACGGUGAGGGAUGAAAGCUGGGGGAGCAAACCGGAUUAGAUACCCGGGUAGUCCCAGCUGUAAACGAUGCAGACUCGGUGAUGAACAGGCUUCGUGCCUGUUCAGUGCCGCAGGGAAGCCGUUAAGUCUGCCGCCUGGGGAGUACGGUCGCAAGACUGAAACUUAAAGGAAUUGGCGGGGGAG
rnacentral:rRNA from 1 species